UUAUUGCUUACUUUGAAAAUUGUAAUGAUUCACUUAAUCAUGAACAAGCUAAAAGUGAACAACUUGAACAUGAACUUGAGAAGAGUCAUCAAGCAUGUAGAGACUUAAGAUCUUCAAAAGGAGAGAUUGAAGUUGCUCAUGAUAAACUUAAAAAGGAUUUUGAGGCCCUUCUCCUUGAAUGCAAUAAUGUCAAGGGAGAGC
rnacentral:lncRNA from 1 species